rnacentral:rRNA from 1 species
CCUACGGGCGGCUGCAGUGAGGAAUAUUGGUCAAUGGACGAGAGUCUGAACCAGCCACGUAGCGUGAAGGAUGACUGCCCUAUGGGUUGUAAACUUCUUUUAUAUGGGAAUAAAAUGUUCCACGUGUGGGAUUUUGUACGUACCAUAUGAAUAAGGAUCGGCUAACUCCGUGCCAGCAGCAGCGGUAAUACGGAGGAUCCGAGCGUUAUCCGGAUUUAUUGGGUUUAAAGGGAGCGUAGGUGGAUUGUUAAGUCAGUUGUGAAAGUUUGCGGCUCAACCGUAAAAUUGCAGUUGAAACUGGCAGUCUUGAGUACAGUAGAGGUGGGCGGAAUUCGUGGUGUAGCGGUGAAAUGCUUAGAUAUCACGAAGAACUCCGAUUGCGAAGGCAGUUCACUGGACUGCAACUGACACUGAGGCUCGAAAGUGUGGGUAUCAAACAGGAUUAGAUACCCGAGUAGUC